CUUGUCUCUGCCAAGAAUGGAAUUAAAUUAUGAAGCCCCUACUGUAUAAUAACAACUUUUCCAAAUACUUGUUCAACUAACUAUCACACCUAUACCAAGAUCUAAAGAGUAUAAUAAUCAUCAAAAAGAGCCAUUUUGGCAUCAUCCUUGGAUUUCUUCCAUGAGAAACCUGUGGGAUCCCUAGAGGCAAAAACCAUGGAGUAUAUGAGCCUUAGGGCCAUGGAGCACUGACCUUGCAUUAGAAGCCCCUCCAGGACCUUCUCAAGAUCAAUGGUUUGAUCUCCACCAUCAUUCACUGCUGGAAAUUAAACCAGACUCCUGAGGACCAAGCCACCAUCAGCUGUAG
rnacentral:lncRNA from 1 species